GCAAACAGAACAACUACAAACAGGAAACCGAACGAGGCUUACAAGCCCCUAACAAAUUAUCUAACAAAAUUGAACUAAGCCAGACCGGAGCCUCCUCCAAAAAGCAGCAACCCAAAUCCAGAUUAUAGCUCCACGCCGCAAGACAAUCUGCAAAAACUUGCAAAAACAAUAAUGAAAGACAAAAAUUGCUUGUUAGACGCCAAAAGCCCAAAUUGAAAGUUAAUCUGUUUGAAGGAAAGCCCAAUCACUAGCCACAUCACCACCCAGGACCCAGCCAUCAAUUAUUUCCGGAAAAACAAAAACCAAAAAAAUCAGUGUUCCAAUAUCUAUGCGACUAAUUGACAUGAGACUGAACAAAUUCAAAAAUGUUUCUAUAUGAGAAAGAAAAGAAAAAAACAUAGACCUCAUAGAGUUUUUAGACUUUAUUGACAGAAGAAGACCAAGACUAUAAAUCUAAAAUAACACCAACAAAAGGAAAAAUAAGCUCCGUUAAUUCCGAGACAUGACAUAGAGAGUGCCACUUUGUCAACAAUAGAUCUAUACCAAGUGAUCUAACCUAGUGAAAAAGGGUAUUGACUUAAAUACUAAUGGUCUUAGGUUCGAACACUCAAAUAGUGUGUAUGAGAAACCCCCCUCCUUCUGUAAUUUAGAUUAUCGUUUGUAUUAUUAUUAUUUAUUUUUUUUGGUGACAUGUAUUUCUUUAUUAUGAAUCUAGGGUGUUUUGAGAGAUUUUUUUGUGAAGCUCCUUCUCGAGUUUUUAUUGUUUUGUUUAAAAAAUAAU
rnacentral:lncRNA from 1 species